AUUGAACGCUGGCGGCAUGCCUUACACAUGCAAGUCGAACGGCAGCACGGGUGCUUGCCCCUGGUGGCGAGUGGCGAACGGGUGAGUAAUACAUCGGAACAUGUCCUGUAGUGGGGGAUAGCCCGGCGAAAGCCGGAUUAAUACCGCAUACGAUCCACGGAUGAAAGCGGGGGCCCUUCGGGCCUCGCGCUAUAGGGUUGGCCGAUGGCUGAUUAGCUAGUUGGUGGGGUAAAGGCCUACCAAGGCGACGAUCAGUAGCUGGUCUGAGAGGACGACCAGCCACACUGGGACUGAGACACGGCCCAGACUCCUACGGGAGGCAGCAGUGGGGAAUUUUGGACAAUGGGCGAAAGCCUGAUCCAGCAAUGCCGCGUGUGUGAAGAAGGCCUUCGGGUUGUAAAGCACUUUUGUCCGGAAAGAAAUCCUUGACUCUAAUACAGUCGGGGGAUGACGGUACCGGAAGAAUAAGCACCGGCUAACUACGU
rnacentral:rRNA from 1 species